UCAAGAUCAGACAGGAAUGUAAGACGACCAGGAUAUCAAGUGUGAAUACGAAAACUGGCAGCAGCAGUCGACCGUCAAUUUAACGGACCUUUCAGUAUAACGACACAUCUGGCCCCCAAGUCGGAGGAUGGCGGAACCAGGACGCAUUGCAUUUUGUGAUUUUGAGAAAAGAGAAGAAAUGUCGCCUGAUCAGAUCGCGGAAGUCUUCAACAAAGUUGCAAGCGUGUAUGAUGAAACGUGGAAAGCCAGAGAUUACAGGGACCACGUGUAUGUGGCUGAAGGUGUAGUGGACUACUACCCGGGGGACAGAGAGUCUGUCCGUGUGCUGGACGUGGGGGCCGGGACUGGCAUGUUGGCG